rnacentral:rRNA from 1 species
GACGAACGCUGGCGGCGUGCUUAACACAUGCAAGUCGAACGGAAAGGCCCUGCUUUUGUGGGGUGCUCGAGUGGCGAACGGGUGAGUAACACGUGAGUAACCUGCCCUUGACUUUGGGAUAACUUCAGGAAACUGGGGCUAAUACCGGAUAGGAGCUCCUGCUGCAUGGUGGGGGUUGGAAAGUUUCGGCGGUUGGGGAUGGACUCGCGGCUUAUCAGCUUGUUGGUGGGGUAGUGGCUUACCAAGGCUUUGACGGGUAGCCGGCCUGAGAGGGUGACCGGCCACAUGGGGACUGAGAUACGGCCAAGACUCCUACGGGAGGCAGCAGUGGGGAAUAUUGCACAAUGGGCGGAAGCCUGAUGCAGCAACGCCGCGUGCGGGAUGACGGCCUGCGGGUUGUAAACCGCUUUCGCCUGUGACGAAGCGUGAGGGACGGGAAUGGGUAAAGAAGCACCGGCUAACUACGUG